AAAAAACAAAAAAAAAAAAAUUCAACAUCAAAUGUCAAUUAAAUCUUAUAAAACCCUUGCCACUGUAUUGUCCCAGCACUUCAAUCUCACUAGAAUAUCAUUUAAAUUACCUUGCAACAAUGAGUUGGAACAUUGUUUUGUUAAGUCAUAAAUAAUGCCUUUAUCACCAACCAAUGAGACUACACAAAAUGGGCCUUUCUUUAUGGGUCAGUCAACUGACAACAUUUAGCACAACUCCAAACUCCAAAAGCUUGUGAUAAUUUUGUCAACUUUCAUCUCAUGAUUCAUGAGCAUUUGACAUAUCUUGGAAUAAAUGUUGCUUGUAGUUACUCAACUUUGUAUGGAACUUCAAUGUGAUAACUAUACUUGAAGUUCAACUUUCAUUUACUGAGGCCUUUCAGGGAGUGUUUGAUCAAAUGCUGCCAGAAAUCAGAGGUGGAAACUUGUUGGAAAUCCACCUAAUGAUUUUAAAGCCUUACCAU
rnacentral:misc_RNA from 1 species